UGUCAUACAGGGAAUCAAGGAGAAAAAAUCAACGCAAGCUUGCUUGCAGGGGAUUUUUUCUCUUUGAUUCCCGCACAAACAUGAACAAGCAGCCAUUUUUCGUAAGAAAAAUGAGCGGAUUAUGAAUGUUUGUGGAGAAUCGCGGGAGCACGAAGUGCGGAGCGAUUCUGGUAUGACA
rnacentral:sRNA from 10 species